CCUACGGGCGGCAGCAGUGGGGAAUAUUGGACAAUGGGGGGAACCCUGAUCCAGCCAUGCCGCGUGUGUGAAGAAGGCCCUCGGGUUGUAAAGCACUUUCAGUGAGGAAGAACGCCUGGUGGUUAAUACCCAUCAGGAAAGACAUCACUCACAGAAGAAGCACCGGCUAACUCCGUGCCAGCAGCCGCGGUAAUACGGAGGGUGCGAGCGUUAAUCGGAAUUACUGGGCGUAAAGCGCGCGUAGGUGGCUUGAUAAGCCGGUUGUGAAAGCCCCGGGCUCAACCUGGGAACGGCAUCCGGGACUGUCAAGCUAGAGUGCAGGAGAGGAAGGUAGAAUUCCCGGUGUAGCGGUGAAAUGCGUAGAGAUCGGGAGGAAUACCAGUGGCGAAGGCGGCCUUCUGGACUGACACUGACACUGAGGUGCGAAAGCGUGGGUAGCAAACAGGAUUAGAUACCCCUGUAGUC
rnacentral:rRNA from 1 species